rnacentral:rRNA from 1 species
UACGUAGGGUGCAAGCGUUAAUCGGAAUUACUGGGCGUAAAGCGUGCGCAGGCGGUUUUGUAAGUCAGAUGUGAAAUCCCCGGGCUUAACCUGGGAACUGCGUUUGAAACUACAAGGCUAGAGUGUGACAGAGGGGGGUGGAAUUUCGUGUGUAGGGGUGAAAUCCGUAGAUCUACGAAGGAACGCCAAAAGCGAAGGCAGCUCUCUGGGUCCCUACCGACGCUGGGGUGCGAAAGCAUGGGGAGCGAACAGG